CCACUUGUUUAUAAGUGUAUCGGGGAGAAAUGUAUAAAAUAAUCGAGAGCGGCGGAGGCAGGUCAGAGCCGUCUGGAGUACUCGCACCUCCAACGAACAAUGCCAACAUUGAAGCCCUCGGUUGGAGUCUGCACAGUUGGAGAUCUUUGGUGCCGUUUUUUUAGACAUCUUUGGAUUUCAUCAAUCAAACUGACUGCAAUUUUCCAUAAAAACCCUGAAUUUGGGUCAGAAAGUGGGCAAAGUAGAUAAAGAUCAUUCGAGCUGUCUUAUAAGAUGAUAAAUAGUUAUCCUUUCAGGCCAACAAUGCUAAAGUGCAGUUUUGUGAUUCCCUUCCAUGGGUUGUGAAUGCAGUGAGUCGAAACGAUUUAUACAUGUUUUCCCAUGGUUUAGGGGGUGUCUUUACAUACUUGUCAAUAGUAGUCUGACCUUUCCCCCAUGGAGUGGCUAAGUGUUAGUGGCUUUGGGUACUUUUUUCCCCCUUGGGGGUGCCCGUGCUUCCUCUUAAGAACCACACAAGAAAAGAAGGCUUUAUUAUUAAUAGAAUAUGGGUCUGAUCUAGACAAUUCUCCUCAAAUAGACUGGUUGCAGAGACCCAUGAGUUUGGUACAGAAUUUCCAUCUGUUAAUCUUGGGAGUACCUCUUUGGACACCAUGCUGGGAUGUGAACUCACUUUCUUAACAACCACAUGUUCACUGGCACCGUGUCCUUAUGCUUGAACUUGACGAAUGGACUUUUGUAUGAGGUGAACAAAAAGAGACACUAAAAGAAGUAGCAGAAGGAAGUUGCAAAAAGAGUAUGAGCCCGCAACUCCCAGAGAUCUUUCAGAAUGCUAGCUGACUCAAUUUCGUAGUGAAUAAAUGCAACUUAAACAUUUCCUCCUCAUUACUAAAAAUAGUUCUUUAGCACGCACAGCAUGUCACAUGUCACGUUUUACACACUGGCCAACCGCUUUUCUAAAUUGUCUUUUCUAUUUUCUUGAUCCUCACGCUCAAAAUGUGCUCGGUUUUGAGAAUCCCUUUAGCCAGUGUUUUUUUUGACUCACCUGGCAGUUUGAAAGAUUCAUGAGCAAUCUUCAUGGAGAAAUCACAGCUGCCCUUCUUGGCUUCUUAAGAAUUAUCUGAGGUGUCCUAUGAGCUCAUAGAUCUUGUGGGAGCAUACACAAGUACCUAGGGAAGUACAUUUAUUUCUUUUGAUUGAAGAUUCCUUCCUAUAUCUGUCACAAGAACACCGGCUCCCUUCUGUGGUUGGCUUUUCCAAACUGGCUAAGUAUCAAAUGUAUGCUGUGAACUAUGUAUAGAAGAGAGCAUGGUACAGUGUGAGUUAAUUACUGUUAUUAACUUACUGGCUAUAUUAGUUUUGAAUGAAGCACAUAAGUUGUGGUUACAGUUAUUUAAGCACUCUUUAUUAGCUAAAAUAAUUUGCAAAUUUUGUACAUUCUCUCACCAUACAAGAUUUAAAAUGGCAACUGGAACCUUAGGAAACCCUUGCUUCGCCAUUAUUUGUCUUAAUAAAUCUGGCUUCCAAGUACUAAA